rnacentral:rRNA from 1 species
GACGAACGCUGGCGGCGUGCCUAAUACAUGCAAGUUGAGCGCUGAAGGUUGGUACUUGUACCAACUGGAUGAGCAGCGAACGGGUGAGUAACGCGUGGGGAAUCUGCCUUUGAGCGGGGGACAACAUUUGGAAACGAAUGCUAAUACCGCAUAAAAACUUUAAACACAAGUUUUAAGUUUGAAAGAUGCAAUUGCAUCACUCAAAGAUGAUCCCGCGUUGUAUUAGCUAGUUGGUGAGGUAAAGGCUCACCAAGGCGAUGAUACAUAGCCGACCUGAGAGGGUGAUCGGCCACAUUGGGACUGAGACACGGCCCAAACUCCUACGGGAGGCAGCAGUAGGGAAUCUUCGGCAAGGGACGAAAGUCUGACCGAGCAACGCCGCGUGAGUGAAGAAGGGUGUCGGAUCGUAAAACUCUGUUGGUAGAGAAGAACGUUGGUGAGAGUGGAAAGCUCAUCAAGUGACGGUAACUACCCAGAAAGGGACGGCUAACUACGUG